CCCCUAGAUGUUCUGGGCCGCACGCGCGCUACACUGAACAGUUCAACAAGUCUUAACCUUGGCCGAUAGGUCUGGGUAAUCUUUGAACGCUGUUCGUGAUUGGGAUAGACCUUUGCAAUUAUGGGUCUUCAACGAGGAAUUCCUAGUAAACGCAAGUCAUCAGCUUGCAUUGAUUACGUCCCUGCCCUUUGUACACACCGCCCGUCGCACCUACCGAUUGAAUGGUCCGGUGAAAUCUCGGGACGGCGGCUUGGUCGCUUGCGUCCGACUGCUGAAACUUGAUUAAACCAUAUCAUUUAGAGGAAGUUGAANUCGUANCA
rnacentral:rRNA from 1 species